CCUACGGGAGGCAGCAGUUUCGAAUCAUUCACAAUGGGGGCAACCCUGAUGGUGCAACGCCGCGUGAGGGAUGAAGGCCUUCGGGUCGUAAACCUCUGUCACCGGGGAGCAACAAACAGGUUAAUAGCCUGUCCUGAGUUAACCCGGAGAGGAAGCAGUGGCUAACUCCGUGCCAGCAGCCGCGGUAAUACGGAGACUGCGAGCGUUACUCGGAUUCACUGGGCGUAAAGGGUGCGCAGGCGGAUAGAUGUGUCAGGUGUGAAAUCUCGGGGCUCAACCUCGAAACUGCGCCUGAAACUGUCUAUCUAGAGUAUUGGAGAGGUAAGCGGAAUUUCCGGUGUAGCGGUGAAAUGCGUAGAUAUCGGAAGGAACACCAAUGGCGAAGGCAGCUUACUGGACAACUACUGACGCUCAGGCACGAAAGCAUGGGUAGCGAAAGGGAUUAGAUACCCCUGUAGUCCAUGCCGUAAACGUUGUACACUAGAUCUUGGAGGUUUCGACCCCUUCAGGACCCCAGCUAACGUGAUAAGUGUACCGCCUGAGGACUACGGCCGCAAGGCUAAAACUCAAAGGAAUUGACGG
rnacentral:rRNA from 1 species